rnacentral:rRNA from 1 species
UGAGGAAUAUUGGUCAAUGGGCGGGAGCCUGAACCAGCCAAGCCGCGUGAGGGAUGAAGGCCCUAUGGGUCGUAAACCUCUUUUGUCAGGGAACAAAAGCGAGUAUGUAUACUAGUCUGAGUGUACCUGAAGAAAAAGCAUCGGCUAACUCCGUGCCAGCAGCCGCGGUAAUACGGAGGAUGCGAGCGUUAUCCGGAUUUAUUGGGUUUAAAGGGUGCGUAGGCGGCGGUGCAAGUCAGCGGUAAAAGCCCGGGGCUCAACCCCGGCGAGCCGUUGAAACUGCAGUGCUAGAGAAGGCGAGAGGUACGCGGAAUGCGCAGUGUAGCGGUGAAAUGCUUAGAUAUUGCGCAGAACUCCGAUUGCGAAGGCAGCGUACUGGCGCCUGACUGACGCUGAGGCACGAAAGCGUGGGGAUCGAACAGGGAUUAGAUACC